GAAGCCCUUAGUUGUUCAUUUCAGGCCCGUCUCCUCAGAGCUCACGUCAGUCAUUCCUUCCGCUGCUCUCCACAGGUGAUCUCCCAGUACCUGCAGUCUACCCAUGCUCCUACACACAGUGACUACACCAUGACCUUGCUGGAGGUUUUUGAAGUGGAAAAGGAGGGGGAGAAAGAAGCCUUCAGGGAGGAUCUGCAUAACAGGACGCUGCUGUGGCACGGCUCCAGGCUGAGUAACUGGGUGGGAAUCCUGAGCCACGGGCUUCGCAUUGCCCCGCCAGAGGCCCCCGUCACAGGUUACAUGUUUGGAAAAGGCAUCUACU